rnacentral:rRNA from 1 species
UACGGAGGGUGCGAGCGUUGUCCGGAAUCACUGGGCGUAAAGGGCGCGUAGGCGGCCCUGGCAGUCGGUGGUGAAAGCCCGUGGCUCAACUGCGGGUCGGCCACCGAUACUCCAGGGCUCGAGUUUUUGGUAGAGGCAGAUGGAAUUCCGGGUGUAGCGGUGGAAUGCGUAGAGAUCCGGAAGAACACCGGUGGCGAAGGCGGUCUGCUGGGGCAGUU